GACGAACGCUGGCGGCGUGCUUAACACAUGCGAGUCGAGCGGUAAGGCCCCUUCGGGGGUACACGAGCGGCGAACGGGUGAGUAACACGUGAGCAAUCUGCCCAUCACAUCGGGAUAACUCCGGGAAACCGAAGCUAAUACCGAAUACGACCACCUCCGGCAUCGGAUGGUGGUGGAAAGUUCCGGCGGUGAUGGAUGAGCUCGCGGCCUAUCAGCUUGUUGGUGGGGUAACGGCCCACCAAGGCUUCGACGGGUAGCCGGCCUGAGAGGGUGACCGGCCACACUGGGACUGAGACACGGCCCAGACUCCUACGGGAGGCAGCAGUGGGGAAUAUUGGACAAUGGGCGAAAGCCUGAUCCAGCAACGCCGCGUGAGGGAUGACGGCCUUCGGGUUGUAAACCUCUUUCAGCAGGGACGAAGCGCAAGUGACGGUACCUGCAGAAGAAGCACCGGCCAACUACGUG
rnacentral:rRNA from 1 species